CAUAUAUUGUACCCAGAAGGUGCCUGCUCACACAUUGUCUGUACUGUUUUAGCAGUGAAAAAGAAUACCCACAGACAAGGCACGGGUGGUGGGUCACCAAAGGCUGACCUUACCCCAGCAGAGGACAUGGCCUUGGAGCUAAAUAAAGGCAGGCCCGUCUUAGAGGGGAUCCCUGGGGGGAAAGAGACGAGCAUAGGUUCCUCCCAAGAUGCCACCCGCUUCAUUCAAGUGUCUGGCAGCACUGUGUUCCUGUUAGAGCCACCAGCACAAGCACCAGACGAUGCUGAUCCAGGUGAAGGCCCCAGUGCAGCAGCAACAGCACAUGAUGGAGACGAUGAUGAGGAGGAGACCAUCUCUCUGGAUUCCAGAAGGCAUGAGGACCCAGAUGCUAUACAGUGGGAAAACCAGCCUGGCAACAUAAGCUCACAAGCUAUCAGAAAGUUGUAUGGCAACCACCUCCGGCGCCAAAUAGAACUGGCAGACAUAGACAUUCAGUACAAGAAGAAAAAGAUGGAAAAUCUUGCACUGGAGUCCGAAAUAAAAAAGAGGACAAUUAGGAAACUGGACCUUGAAAUAAAAAAACUUGAGAGGGAGCUCCAAGAAGAUGACACAGCUCAAAAUAAAAAUUAGGUAUAUUCUCGUAAAGUCAAGUGAGCCAUGACAUAUGAGCUCUUAUUGUGAGCACACAGGACGGUGGCAUCUUUCUAAG
rnacentral:lncRNA from 1 species